rnacentral:rRNA from 1 species
ACUCCUACGGGAGGCAGCAGUGGGGAAUAUUGCACAAUGGGGGAAACCCUGAUGCAGCCAUGCCGCGUGUGUGAAGAAGGCCUUCGGGUUGUAAAGCACUUUCAGUAGGGAGGAAGGUAGUGUAGUUAACACCUGCAUUAUUUGACGUUACCUACAGAAGAAGCACCGGCUAACUCCGUGCCAGCAGCCGCGGUAAUACGGAGGGUGCGAGCGUUAAUCGGAAUUACUGGGCGUAAAGCGCAUGCAGGCGGCCUGUUAAGUCAGAUGUGAAAGCCCGGGGCUUAACCUCGGAAUUGCAUUUGAAACUGGCAGGCUAGAGUCUUGUAGAGGGGGGUAGAAUUUCAGGUGUAGCGGUGAAAUGCGUAGAGAUCUGAAGGAAUACCAGUGGCGAAGGCGGCCCCCUGGACAAAGACUGACGCUCAGAUGCGAAAGCGUGGGGAGCAAACAGGAUUAGAUACCCUGGUAGCACA